rnacentral:rRNA from 1 species
AUUGAACGCUGGCGGCAGGCCUAACACAUGCAAGUCGAGCGAGCGGCGGACGGGAGAGUAAUGUAUGGGGACUGCCCGAUGGAGGGGGAUAACUACUGGAAACGGUGGCUAAUACCGCAUACUAUCGGAUAACCCAUAUGGGAUUAGCUAGUAGGUGGGGUAAAGGCUCACCUAGGCGACGAUCUCUAGCUGGUCUGAGAGGAGGAUCGGCAACACUGGAACUGGGACACGGCCCAGAUUCCUACGGAGGGAGCAGAGGGGAAUAUUGCACAAUGGGCGCAAGCCUGAUGCAGACAUGCGGCGUGUAUGAAGAAGGCCUUAGGGUUGUAAAGUACUUUCAGCGGGGAGGCGUUACCCGCAGAAGAAGCACCGGCUAACUCCGUGCCAGCAGCCGCGGUAAUAC